rnacentral:lncRNA from 1 species
UGCUGUCCUUUGUUUCCAUGUCUGUGAUACCACACAAUGCCAGUUUACGUUCCUCCAAAGUGGACUUCCUCCUUAACCUUUUCCCUGUUAACCUAAUCAGCAGCAAGUCCCUGAUGCUUAUGCCUAUGACUCUCAUAAAUACUUCUUCGCCAAUGAUGAGCCCCAUGUUGAUGGUAUCUGGCUCCAUCCUCAGGUGCUUCAGAUGCCUGACUUCUUUGCCCAGAUAAUCCCUAUAUAUUAUCCGAAUCAGGAAAAAUCAAUGAUCAUGGCAGCAUGUUCAUACAGCAAGAAUAUAGUUUGUUCUCUGAAGUACUUUUACACUAUGCAUAGCAGAAAAUGUAAAUGAUAAAUUCCAGAAGAAGAAGCAUGCAGCCUUAGAGUUAAGAUUAUACCGACCACCUAGAAAUCUGACGCAAUGUAUUGUAUUCGCCUUUGCUUUCGACAAUUUAUCAACUUAUCAUACGAAGGAUUCAGAUUUGCUGACUGUUAUAACUGGCGGUCUUAGCAAUAUUUUCACGUAGUCGGUGGGAUUCUCCUCCGCCUCAACUAUUUCUGUUGCGAUCGAGGUUUCUCUCCCACUCUACCAAACAACCGCCCUAAAAAUUAAAAUACCACAAUGCAGAACAGCGUAUGAUCGAUCAAUCGAAAGGGUGAAAAAGGAUAACGAGACUCAACGAGGAUACUUCUGUAAUCAGUUGGCGAAAUUGAGAUACAAAAAUGCUUAUGGCGCCACUUGUAACCGCAAGGUUGAGGACGACUUUCCCAGUGCAGUUAAGUUUGUCGGUGUCGUUACCCUACUCGUUACCUUUGA